rnacentral:rRNA from 1 species
CAACCCAGGGAUUGCCUUAGUAGCGGCGAGUGAAGCGGCAAAAGCUCAAAUUUGAAAUCUGGCGCCUUCGGUGUCCGAGUUGUAAUUUGAAGAUUGUAACCUUGGGGUUGGCUCUUGUCUAUGUUUCUUGGAACAGGACGUCACAGAGGGUGAGAAUCCCGUGCGAUGAGAUGCCCAAUUCUAUGUAAGGUGCUUUCGAAGAGUCGAGUUGUUUGGGAAUGCAGCUCUAAGUGGGUGGUAAAUUCCAUCUAAAGCUAAAUAUUGGCGAGAGACCGAUAGCGAACAAGUACAGUGAUGGAAAGAUGAAAAGAACUUUGAAAAGAGAGUGAAAAAGUACGUGAAAUUGUUGAAAGGGAAGGGUUUGAGAUCAGACUCGGAUAUUUUGUGAGCCUUGCCUUCGUGGCGGGGUGACCCGCAGCUUAUCGGGCCAGCAUCGGUUUGGGCGGUAGGAUAAUGGCGUAGGAAUGUGACUUUACUUCGGUGAAGUGUUAUAGCCUGCGUUGAUGCUGCCUGCCUAGACCGAGGACUGCGAUUUUAUCAAGGAUGCUGGCAUAAUGAUCCCAAACCGC